rnacentral:rRNA from 1 species
AUUGAACGCUGGCGGCAUGCCUUACACAUGCAAGUCGAACGGCAGCACGGAGCUUGCUCUGGUGGCGAGUGGCGAACGGGUGAGUAAUAUAUCGGAACGUACCCUAGAGUGGGGGAUAACGUAGCGAAAGUUACGCUAAUACCGCAUACGAUCUAAGGAUGAAAGUGGGGGAUCGCAAGACCUCAUGCUCGUGGAGCGGCCGAUAUCUGAUUAGCUAGUUGGUAGGGUAAAAGCCUACCAAGGCAUCGAUCAGUAGCUGGUCUGAGAGGACGACCAGCCACACUGGAACUGAGACACGGUCCAGACUCCUACGGGAGGCAGCAGUGGGGAAUUUUGGACAAUGGGCGAAAGCCUGAUCCAGCAAUGCCGCGUGAGUGAAGAAGGCCUUCGGGUUGUAAAGCUCUUUUGUCAGGGAAGAAACGGUGAAAGCUAAUAUCUUUUGCUAAUGACGGUACCUGAAGAAUAAGCACCGGCUAACUACGUGCCAGCAGCCGCGGUAAUACGUAGGGUGCAAGCGUUAAUCGGAAUUACUGGGCGUAAAGCGUGCGCAGGCGGUUUUGUAAGUCUGAUGUGAAAUCCCCGGGCUCAACCUGGGAAUUGCAUUGGAGACUGCAAGGCUAGAAUCUGGCAGAGGGGGGUAGAAUUCCACGUGUAGCAGUGAAAUGCGUAGAUAUGUGGAGGAACACCGAUGGCGAAGGCAGCCCCCUGGGUCAAGAUUGACGCUCAUGCACGAAAGCGUGGGGAGCAAACAGGAUUAGAUACCCUGGUAGCCCACGCCCUAAACGAUGUCUACUAGUUGUCGGGUCUUAAUUGACUUGGUAACGCAGCUAACGCGUGAAGUAGACCGCCUGGGGAGUACGGUCGCAAGAUUAAAACUCAAAGGAAUUGACGGGGACCCGCACAAGCGGUGGAUGAUGUGGAUUAAUUCGAUGCAACGCGAAAAACCUUACCUACCCUUGACAUGGCUGGAAUCCUUGAGAGAUCAGGGAGUGCUCGAAAGAGAACCAGUACACAGGUGCUGCAUGGCUGUCGUCAGCUCGUGUCGUGAGAUGUUGGGUUAAGUCCCGCAACGAGCGCAACCCUUGUCAUUAGUUGCUACGAAAGGGCGCUCUAAUGAGACUGCCGGUGACAAACCGGAGGAAGGUGGGGAUGACGUCAAGUCCUCAUGGCCCUUAUGGGUAGGGCUUCACACGUCAUACAAUGGUACAUACAGAGCGCCGCCAACCCGCGAGGGGGAGCUAAUCGCAGAAAGUGUAUCGUAGUCCGGAUUGUAGUCUGCAACUCGACUGCAUGAAGUUGGAAUCGCUAGUAAUCGCGGAUCAGCAUGUCGCGGUGAAUACGUUCCCGGGUCU